rnacentral:lncRNA from 1 species
GGAAGCAUGCAGUCAAAGUGAUGCUCAGUCACUCCCUUCUUUACAUUCAUACAUGUUUAUUCGAGGCCAUUCGUGAGGGCACCAUGUAGUAGCAGUGACGCUCACUCACUCCCUUCCUCACAUUCAUUCUUAUUUAUUCCAAACGAUUUGCAAUCGAAGCAUGUAAUUGUAGUGACGCUCGCUCACUCCUUUCUUCACAUUCAUUCUUAUUUCUACGAAAUCAUUCAUGAUUGAAGCAAGCAAUCAUGGUGAUGCUUGCUCACUCCCUUCUUCUCAUUCA